rnacentral:rRNA from 1 species
CGUAGGGUGCGAGCGUUAAUCGGAAUUACUGGGCGUAAAGCGUGCGCAGGCGGUUAUAUAAGACAGAUGUGAAAUCCCCGGGCUCAACCUGGGAACUGCAUUUGUGACUGUAUAGCUAGAGUACGGCAGAGGGGGAUGGAAUUCCGCGCGUAGCAGUGAAAUGCGUAGAUAUGCGGAGGAACACCGAUGGCGAAGGCAAUCCCCUGGGCCUGUACUGACGCUCAUGCACGAAAGCGUGGGGAGCAAACAGGAUUAGAUACCCUGGUAGUCCACGCCCUAAACGAUGUCAACUGGUUGUUGGGUCUUCACUGACUCAGUAACGAAGCUAACGCGUGAAGUUGACCGCCUGGGGAAUACGGCCGCAAGGUUG